rnacentral:rRNA from 1 species
UAGGGAAUCUUCCGCAAUGGGCGAAAGCCUGACGGAGCAACGCCGCGUGAGUGAUGAAGGUCUUCGGAUCGUAAAACUCUGUUAUUAGGGAAGAACAUAUGUGUAAGUAACUGUGCACAUCUUGACGGUACCUAAUCAGAAAGCCACGGCUAACUACGUGCCAGCAGCCGCGGUAAUACGUAGGUGGCAAGCGUUAUCCGGAAUUAUUGGGCGUAAAGCGCGCGUAGGCGGUUUUUUAAGUCUGAUGUGAAAGCCCACGGCUCAACCGUGGAGGGUCAUUGGAAACUGGAAAACUUGAGUGCAGAAGAGGAAAGUGGAAUUCCAUGUGUAGCGGUGAAAUGCGCAGAGAUAUGGAGGAACACCAGUGGCGAAGGCGACUUUCUGGUCUGUAACUGACGCUGAUGUGCGAAAGCGUGGGGAUCAAACAGGAUUAGAUACCCUGGUAGUCCACGCCGUAAACGAUGAGUGCUAAGUGUUAGGGGGUUUCCGCCCCUUAGUGCUGCAGCUAACGCAUUAAGCACUCCGCCUGGGGAGUACGNCGCGCAAGGUUG